rnacentral:rRNA from 1 species
UACAGAGGGUGCGAGCGUUAAUCGGAAUUACUGGGCGUAAAGCGCGCGUAGGCGGCUUUGCAAGUCGGAUGUGAAAUCCCCAGGCUUAACCUGGGAACUGCAUUCGAGACUGCAUUGCUAGAGUAUGGGAGAGGGAAGUGGAAUUUCCGGUGUAGCGGUGAAAUGCGUAGAUAUCGGAAGGAACAUCAGUGGCGAAAGCGACUUCCUGGACCAAUACUGACGCUCAUGUGCGAAAGCGUGGGGAGCAAACAGG